CGCCUGGUGUUCAGGCAGGCAGCCUCCAAACUCUCCACUCUGGGGGCUCCGGAAGAGGCUCCGUGGAAGGGAAGCAAGAUGCAACCAGCUCAUCCAGGGCCACACAGCCAGGGCCAGGUGGACAAGGAGUUGGAUGGAGUAGGAGGAGGCCUGCCAUCUCUGCCCUGAGGUCCCCUGGACCCUUGCCUAGCAAUGGCCAGAGCACCACCCCGGUAGGACAUCACCCAAGCA
rnacentral:lncRNA from 1 species